rnacentral:lncRNA from 1 species
AGGCUGUACAGGAAAUGUGGUGCCGGCAUCUGCUUCUGGUGAGGGCCUCAAAAAGCUUAAAAUCAUGGUGUUUUAUUUUUUGCUACUGAAAUUAACUUAAUUAUUUUUCAGAAGAAUAACAGUAUACUUUCCUGUAUUCUGAUAAUCGAUGUGAUAUUUUAAGUAGCUUACAAUUACAUUGACAAGGCUUCUGCUUUCUCACACUUAGUAGCUGGGACUGUCAAACAGAUGCAGAACGAACAGGUGAAUAAUUUGUUUAGUUAGUUAUUUUUCAUUUCCUUUUCAACUAGAUUGAAAAGUAGGGAUAUAUAAUCCUACAUUUUAGACUAAUUGCGUAAGACAUCUUGAAGAAUUAAAGAAGAUAUUCUAGAAUAGCAGAGAGUUCAUUUUUCAUAAAUUAGAUGGUGACAGUGAGAGAAAUUGUAUUGUUGAUAUAGUACAUAUUUUUGGCCAAUUGGCAGAUACUUGGACACCUACCUAAGGAGCAAGGGCUGGUGCUAGGCAUUGUAGGGAUACAGAUAGUUAUAAUAACUGAUAUUUUAUAAUGUUUACUAUGUGCCAGACACUUUCUGGGUACUCAGAACUUACUACUUGUAUAAAUUUUACAGCAGUCAUAUGCUCUUACCUCUCUUGCAAAUAAGAAAACUGAGACAUAGGGAAGAUAAGUAUCUUGGACAAGGUCACAAAGCUGGUGGUGGAGUUUGGAUUUGAAACCUGGUGAUAUGGCUGUGGAGCCUGUGUUAUUAUCUUGUAAUCAGUAGCACGAAGCAGAAGACCUGGUUCCUGCCCUCAAAUAGCCUGUUGUCUAGUUGCAGUGACAAGUCUCAAACACAUGUAAAGAUAUAUAAUGUAUAUUUUUUAAGAUUGUAGACAGUAAAUAAAUGCUGUAAGUAGAAAUAUUCAUCUAUUUAUUUGCCUAGGUUGACUAGCAAGGCAAUCCUGACUGGCAUAAUCAGGAUUCUAGACUCUGGCCAUAUUGUUGUGUAAUAUUGAACAUCUGGGAUGGGCUGUGCACUGUGCAUUUGCACCCUCCAUGAGUAAGAUUUAAAGAAACACCAUUCUUUUAGUCAUUACCUUUUAAAAAACACUUUUAACCAUGUACAGGUAGUUAUAUUGAAUAGUUUAUUAAAAUUGUCUCACUUAUUUCUGAAAUCUAUUUAAAUAAAAAUGUGGGAAAGCUCAAGAGUGAGUACACUUUACAACCUGGCUGCCUUUUUCAGAUUUCUACUUGCAUUACUGUUUGGAAGUUGUUCUUCAUAUUCCAUGGGAGAUGAUGGGGAGUGGAAAGAUAAGAAGGGAGCAGUGACAUUCAUUCAAUUCCUGUAAAUGACUUUUAUUAACAUUGUUCUGAUGCUUCAGGUUUGUGCUCAGAAACAGGGUGUGUCAUUCAUUACAUAGCAUGCUGUCAUGUCCAGUCUGCUGCCUCAUGACUUCUCUGAGUAAAACUGACUCAGUCAGUGGUUUGAGGCUUGGCCUUCAGCACAAGAGAAGCAAACACCCACUUAUAGCAGCUAGAUUAAUACUGUCUUUCUUUCUGAAAUACUUAAGGAGACCGAUGAUUAACAGCAAAAACAAUAGCCAACGCCAUAGACAUUUCAGCUGGUUCAUUUUACACAAUUCUGACUCUGCUCAGUGGGUGCCAAAACUGUUGCUCCCAGAUCAAUUGCAGACAAGAGCAGAGCUUUCACUGGAAAUUUCAAACAGGUGGGAUCAACAUUCUGAAGGAUUUCUUUGAAGAAUUUUAACAAUAAAUGAACAUGGUUUUACCAGUACAUCCUGAAGACAAAGUACAAUCAAAUCACUGGCUACCAAGAGUUGGAAGUGAGAGCAGAAGCAGACUGAUCAAGAACAAAGGUCAUGGCAACACUUUUUUUGGGAUACGCAAGGCAUUUUGCUCGUUGACUUUUGGGAGGGCCAAUGAAUGCCAACAUCUGCUUAUUGUAAGAGUAUUUUAAGAAAGUUAGCUAAAGCUUGAGCAGAAAAAUGCCUAGGAAAGCUUCACCAGAGAGUCCUUCUCCACCAUGAUAGUGCUCUUGCUCAUUCUUCUCAUCAAACAAGGUCAAUUUUGGGAUAGUUUUGAUGCACAUUUAUUAGGCAUCCACCCUACAGUCCUGAUUUGGCUCCUUCUGACUUUUUUAUUUCUUAAUCUUAAAACGUCUAUAAAGCGUAUCCAUUUUUCUUCAGUUAAAAAUGUAAAAAAGACUGCAUUGACAUGGUUAAUGCAGGACCCU